AUUUCUGCGCCUUCUUCGAACAUUCCAUCACCGAGUUCACUUCUUCUUGCGUACAAGCUACUCACUCUCAGUCCAAUCCAAUUCCAAUUCAAGUCGAUACACCCCCAAAAUAUAUAUAUAUAUAUAUAUAUAUACUAGUAACAACUUUUCACCCAAAAAUGGCGUCUAAAACCCUUGUUCUUGCUCAAACAUGUUUAGACCCACGAAUCGUGGUCUCGACGGAGUUGUAAUCCUCCAAACAAUUUCCUCAAAUUCAGUCUGAUACAAGCUCGAAUCCACAUCUCCAAUCGAACAGUCUCAAUUGAUUAAUCUUCACACCUCUUGCUUUUACGAACUCAAGACUGCGGUGGUGUUGAUCGGAGACGAAGAGGUUCACUUGGUGGCAAUGCCGAGCAAGCAGAAUAAAUUUUCGUGUUUUUGGUGCUAUGCGGUUCCGUCCGUGUUCAAAGUACGGCGGCGGCAGUAGCGAAGUUGGGCAACAGUGAUGAGGAUGACGUCGAUAGGGAUGAUAAGCUUUCAAACAGAUCUUGCUUAGUUUGAUACAAAUUUUACUUUUCAAAAUACAUUUUUGAGAAGAUUAAUGGUUUUCCUUUAACCAUAACUAUUUUUUUUGUUGUUAUUUGUUGUUGUUUUGUUAUUUGUUUUUUUUCUUUUUAUAUAUAGUUUGUAUGGCCUUUUGGAGUCUCAUUUU